CCCUUAGAUGUCCUGGGCCGCACGCGCGCUACACUGAACGGAUCAGCGCGUUUUCCCUUCCCGAGAGGGACGGGUAACCUGCUGAACCCCGUUCGUGGUAGGGAUCGGGGCUUGCAAUUAUUCCCCGUGAACCAGGAAUGCCCAGUAAGUGCAUGUCAUAAGCUUGCGUUGAUUACGUCCCUGCCCUUUGUACACACCGCCCGUCGCUACUACCGAUUGAACGUUUUAGUGAGGUACUCGGACUGAGCCUCAGAAGAUUCACGUCUUUUGUGCUGCUCGGGAAGAUUCCCAAACUUGAGCGUUUAGAGGAAGUAAAAGUCGUAACA
rnacentral:rRNA from 1 species